GAAAUACUGACAUAAAAAAAAACUUUAAAAAAUUGUAACACAAAAACAAAAGAAAGAAAGAUAAUGGAAAGAUCAGGUCUGCUGUUCAGAGCUCAUGUUGUCACCUUAGCAGAUAAUGGAAAGUAGAAUUACUCAACUAUUUUGCCUCCAUCUUUUCUGUCAAAAGGAAUGAGCAUCAGGAAGAAACUCAGACCUAACUAUUGAAAGAGGGAAUUGAAGCCUCAUACAAGUGAAGAGAUAGUAUGAAACCAGAUGAAUAUCCCUUUUUUCUCUAUUAAAAGUAUGAACUUGAAGGAGAAAGCCAAAGUAGGGCCAAGAAAUAGUUUAGCAACGAUCCUGCUGACGAAAUCCAUUAAUGACAAGCAUAGAAAUGGUAAUUUCACAAAUACAGAAGGAAAGAGAGAUAUGGAGCCAUUCAGCAAGAUCAGGUUCUACUGUUGAGGAUGCUUCACAACAUGCUGAAGUUACUGCUGGAAUCUACACAACCAAGAGAAAAUGCUGCAGUAGGAGGGUCUUCCACUGUGGCAUCACCCAAAGGGGAUUGAAAAAGAGAAAUGUAAAAGUACAAAGCCAAUUAUGUAAGCAAGAGUGACAGGAAAACCAGGUAUGUGAAUUAGUACUUGUUAUACAUUUGAUUAUUUUAAACUAGGUGUGGUGUCUAUUUAUUCUUUGCAGAUGAGUGGCUUGAUUAGCUCCUAAUAAGUCUUUUGCCUGUAAUGUCCUCUAUUGAGAUACUAAUGUCUGCUUACCUUCUUUUUCAGUGUUUUGAAGAGUAAGCCCAAUGACAGAUAUAUUAAUGUUUAAACUCAUAUGCAUAAAUGUAAUCUCUUAAAAAUGUUUCUAAUUCCUAUUAUACACCCUGAGUUUAGUAAUGCACUAUUGGCUAUAGCUCAAUAACAAAA
rnacentral:lncRNA from 13 species